CGCAGCUUGUGCCGCACCUCCCCGAGCUCGUGCGCGGCGUCGGCCCCGCCCUGGCCCUGGGACGGCUCCAGCCCGCUCUCAGCCAAUCGCUGCUCGCGCUGCUCCGCCAGGUGGGCGGGGCCGACCCCCAGCGCUUCCGGGAGGGCGUGGCCUCGCUGGACCCCGCCCACGCCGCCAUCUUGUGUGGGAUGUUGGGUGACGUCAUCGGCAGCCAAUAAAAACGGAGGAUGAGGAAAA